rnacentral:lncRNA from 1 species
GAAAGAAAGAAGAAGUCUCAUCAACAUUCCAAGAAAGAAAGAAUGACAGGUAAGGACCCGAAGGAUUUGAAUGAAGAAUUGAAAAUGGAAGUAAAGGAGUGAGGAACAAUUGAACAAGGGAGUACUACAUGGAGAAGCAAGUGAAUGACAAAAAAAAUUGUGUAAAACACUUCAUGCGUUAGUUAACUACCAGUAAAAAGAUAAUUAGUAUUUUUAAAAUUAUUUUUAAUCGACUAAAUUUAUGCGAUUUUAUAUAUAAAUUUAUCCUAAAAUUAAACAACGUAGUCUACUAAAAGAUAGAAAUAAAUCAGGUCAUUCAUUAACAAUGAAAA